CGUGGAAUCACCUAUUCUCGUACGAUCGCCGAGGUUAAGCAACGUCGAGCCUGGCAAGUACAUAGAUGGGUGACAGCUUGGGAAUACCAAGUGCUGUAAG